rnacentral:tRNA from 1 species
GGGGCGAUGGCGGAAUUGGCAGACGCCGCGGACUUAAAAUCCGCUGUGGUAAUCCCACGUGAGAGUUCGAUCCUCUCUCGCCCCA